GAUGCUGAAAGGAGCAGCCCCGAGCGGUGCAGCUGUGUGUGCAAUU
rnacentral:SRP_RNA from 12 species